GGCACAUAUACUUAUUACUAGUUCUCCAUUUACCCGAACACAGAACAACAUACAUGAGUACUUUAAAAUACUACUACCCCCCGAACACAGUAUGGUUAGGGCACGUAGAUCAGGCUAUUUUUUCAUAUAUACGAGGCUUUAAAUUUUCUUACUUACAUUACUAAAUAAAAAUAUGAAACAGUAACCUUAAUAUCAAAGUUUAUCUUAAAAAAUUUCUUCCGUAUCACCACUUACUCU
rnacentral:lncRNA from 1 species